GAACCAGCCAAGUAGCGUGAAGGAUGAAGGCUCUAUGGGUCGUAAACUUCUUUUAUAAAGGAAUAAAGUCACCUACGUGUAGGUGUUUGUAUGUACUUUAUGAAUAAGGAUCGGCUAACUCCGUGCCAGCGAGCCGCGGUAAUAA
rnacentral:rRNA from 1 species